AACUAACAAGGAUUCCCCUAGUAAUGGCGAAUGAAGCGGGAAGAGCUCAAAUUUGAAAUCUGCGUCGCCUGCGACGCCGAAUUGUAGUUUCUAGAAGCGCUUUCUAGGCACGCUCGGGGCCGUCCAAGUUGCUUGGAACAGCACGUCAUAGAGGGUGACAACCCCGUCUGUGGCGGACCCGGCGGCUGACGAUGCGCUUUCGAAGAGUCGGGUUGUUUGGGAAUGCAGCCCAAAAUGGGUGGUAAACUCCAUCUAAAGCUAAAUAUUGGCACGAGACCGAUAGCGAACAAGUACCGUGAGGGAAAGAUGAAAAGCACUUUGAAAAGAGAGUUAAAAAGUACGUGAAACCGUUAAAAGGGAAACGGAUGGGGUUAGCAAUGCGCCGCGCGAGAUUCAGCCGGGCGCGGCGUCGGGCGGGCGGUUUGCGGAUCCGAAUGGACCGCGGCCGUCCGGUUCGGCGUCGGGACCGUCGCACUUCUCGCCGACGCGCGCCAACGUCGGUUGGCCCUGGGUGUGAAAGGCGCCAGCAAGGUGGGCUCCCUCCUCCGGGCGGGAGUUGUUAUAGGCUGGCGUCGCAUGGCCCGGGGGCGACCGAGGUGCCGCGGGGCACGCCUCCCUCUUCGGAGGGCUGGCUAGGGUCCCGUCUCGCCGAUCGGUUGUCGACUGCGGUGGACUGCAUGCAGUGCGCCGCGACUGCUGCCGGUCGCCGGGGCGGUGAUCGCGUACCUGCUAGAAACUCGCAGGCGCAAUGAAAGUGAAGGCGGCCUCGGCCGCCGAGGUGAGAGCCCGUCCCCUCGCCGGGUCGGGUGCAUCAUCGACCGACCUAUUCUGCUCUCAGGAAGGUUUGAGUAAGAGCGCAUCUGUUGGGACCCGAAAGAUGGUGAACUAUGCCUGAACAGGGUGAAGCCAGAGGAAACUCUGGUGGAGGCUCGUAGCGAUUCUGACGUGCAAAUCGAUCGUCAAAUUUGGGUAUAGGGGCGAAAGACUAAUCGAACCAUCUAGUAGCUGGUUCCCUCCGAAGUUUCCCUCAGGAUAGCUGGAACUCACGGCAGUUUUAUCAGGUAAAGCGAAUGAUUAGAGGUCUUGGGAUUAAAACAAUCUUAACCUAUUCUCAAACUUUAAAUUGGUAAGAAGUCCGACUUGCUUGAUUGAAGCCGGACGCUCGAAUGCGAGUUCCUAGUGGGCCAUUUUUGGUAAGCAGAACUGGCGAUGCGGGAUGAACCGAACGCGCGGUUAAGGUGCCGAAGUCGACGCUCAUCAGACACCACAAAAGGUGUUGGUUGCUACAGACAGCAGGACGGUGGCCAUGGAAGUCGGAAUCCGCUAAGGAGUGUGUAACAACUCACCUGCCGAAGCAACUAGCCCUGAAAAUGGAUGGCGCUCAAGCGUCGCACCUAUACCGUGCCGUCGGCACGAAUGCCAUGUGUCGACGAGUAGGAGGGCGUGGGGGUCGUGACG
rnacentral:rRNA from 1 species